AAAUGGCUAGGUGAAACAUUUGUUUAUUUAAAAGCCACGGGCUCUUUAAUAAAAAAGUUUCCCAUAGCCCCAACUUCUUUGGAGAAGAAGGGGUUGGCAGACACAUCUGUGUUUGAACUGAUGACAUGUAGAAGAACCCUGGAUAUGUUGUGUUUUGAACUAGGUGAGCAGAAGAAAGGCCGGCUGUGCCCUGGGGAUGCCAAACUGGAGGGUGCUGCAGCGAGGGGGAAACCCAACACGGGCACUGUGCUGAGAAGGUGAGAGUGACUCUCUUAAGCUGGCCCUGGCACUCGCAAUAAUUGCUAACAGACCUCCUUUCCCCUCUGUUCUUUUCACCCACUCUCCCAGUCCCUAGCAUGCUCACAGAACACUUUAUUUCUGAGUUAUUAAAAAUUACAUCUUUCUUAUAUUGAUUCUUGACAGUUGCCAGCUGACCUCUAAUUGUUUCCAGGUCCGAGGUUUCAAAUUUACUGAUUUCCUUUUUGAUAUUUUAAUCAUUCUCUGUCCCCUGCUUGUUCCCUCUCCUGCUGAUUUGCCUUGUCUUCAGAAUUUCUCAAACCUGAACUCCGUAUUUUUUUUUCUUGCUAAAUAUCUCUUGACAUUCUGAAAGGCACUGGCAACCAGGUGAAGAGGCAUUGCAGUCUCUACAUUCCUGUCACUUGGAUUGAACAAUUUCUACUGACAGCAGAACAACAGGAUCAGGAUGAGAGUCUCCUCUUGGCUCUUCCUCUGGCUCAGGAGAUGCAUGGGAAGUAUCAGGAAUUUAGCAUUGUGUCCCAAACAGGUCUUGGGAUAAAGUGAUGAAUUAUGGAAAGGCAGGAAUACAAUGAAUUCAUUUUGAGCCCCUUGAGAAGGAAGGAAUUGGAAUUGAUGUGUGGCAAAGCGAUUCCAAUUCAGUGAAAGGGUGAGAUUUGAGAUGACAGUAAGCUCCAAGAGGUCAGAGAAUGUGUGUAUUUGCUAAGUGUCAUGUCCUUAGCGCCUGGAACAGCUUGUGGCACUGAAUAAAUAUUUGGUGAGUUAAACAUGGAUUUUAUUCUUCCUGUUCAUGAUUCUGAACAGUAAUCAGAGAGUCUGGGACGAAUUUCAUAAUAUCUAGCAGGAAACUCCCAUGCUUCUGUGGAGUGACUUUCUCUACUCUUGACACCAUUUAGCAGUUUCCCUUCAUGGCUCAUUUUUAUUCUAAAAAUGAUAUGACACCUCUCUUUAAGAAGGAUACACAGAUAAACAUAUAUCUGAAUGUAUGGAUCCAAAGAAUGUUUGAGAAUGGAGGGCACUUUAGAAUCCACUGGGGUCAACACUUUACUUUUUCGAUGGCACAGUAGAGCUUUUGAAAGUGAAGUGAUUUCCCCAAAGGAGUCCUGGGCAGCAUAGAGUGCUUGGUGGACACAUUACUGACAGAACCAGCACGCACUGAGAGUUCUGUUGUGAGUUCCCUGUCACCUUUGUUCUGCUGCACACACAGGGAGAGCGGUCUGUUCUAGUUGUGAAAAAAAAAAAUAGCCCUAUAGCCAUAGAGAUGCAGAUAUUGGUAUCUGAAAAUUAUCUGGAGCGGAGUAAAAGAUUUGAGGAACCCCGAAGGCACCGGCUACAGGUUGUUGGCUUGGACACAAUAAACAAGUCUUCUUCAGAACAUGACAAAGAGGAUGACAGAUGUAUGAGGGUACAUGUAGCCCUGUUUCUCUGGCCUCAGUGGAAUUUAUAAGGAAUGUAUUGCCUCGCAAAUGUUGAAGUCAGGGCUUGAGAGUUCUGGGAGGUUGUCAAGGGGCCCUGUGAUAUUGGUACUGAUGAGGUUCUCUUGUCUCUCUCUCAGAUGAUUCACAGGCCUUGGCAUCAGUGUUAGCAUAGGCAAGGGGGUUUCAGGGCAGAACAUGAAAGAAAUCUUCAUGAGAUCAUGUCUGAUACUCCUGGGGAGUCCCAGAUUUACUUGAGUAAGGUUUUGAAGUGGGUCUUAACAUUCCAUCAAUAGGAGCACAGCUGGUGAAGUUAGAGUUGCUGUGAUUUAUGUGACUUCAUCAACACAUACAGGCUAGUGGACCCAGGAAAACUCCAGAUGGGAGAGAAGUGGAUUGGACAGUGAUACAGGAGUCCUAUAUUCUCCAUAUCUUCACUUCUUUUAAAAAAAUAAUUAAUUAAUCAAUUAAUUUUCAUUAGGUAUAUAUUUCAUUAGGUAUACUAGCUUACUGUCAUCUCUAAACUCACCAUUUCACUGAAUUGGAAUCGCUUUGCCACACAUCAUUUUCAUUCAUUGUACACGAAGGGAGCACAACUUUUCAUUUCUCUGGUUGUACAUGAUGUAGCAUCAUCACACCAUAUGUGCAGUCAUAUCUAUAUACCUAGGGUAAUGAUGUCCAUCUCAUUCCACCAUCUUUCCUGCCACCAUUGCCCCUACCUUUGACUAGUCAAAUUUUCUCCAUUCUUCCCAUGUCUCUCUCUCCAUUAUGGAUCAGCCUCCACUUAUCAGAGAGAACAUAUGGCUUUUGGUGUUUUGGGAUUGGCUUAUUUCACUUAGCAUGAUAUUCUCCAACUCCAUCCAUUAACCUGCAAAUGCCAUGAUUUUGCUCUCUUUUAAUGCUGAGUAAUAUUCCAUUGUGUAUAUAUGCCACAUUUUCUUUAUCCAUUCAUCUAUUGAAGGGCAUCUUGGUUGGUUCCACAGUUUAGCUAUUUGAAUUGAGCUGCUGUAAACAUUGAUAUGACUGUGUUACUAUAGUAUGCUGUUUUUAAGUCCUUUUUUUUAUAGAGCGAGGAGUGGAAUAGCUGGAGCAAAUGGUGGAUCCAUUCCAAGUUUUCUAAAGAAUCUCCAUACUGAUUUCCAAAGUGGUUGCACCAAUUUGCAGUCCCACCAUCAAUGUAUAAGUGUACCUUUUCCCCCACAUCCUCUCCAACACUGAUUAUUACUUGUAUUCUUGAUAAUUGCCAUUUUGGCUGGAGUGAGAUGAAACCUUAUAGUAGUUUUUAUUUGCAUUCUUCUAAUUACUAGAGACGCUGAACAUUUUCUUAUGUAUUUGUUGAUCGAUUGUUUAUUUUCUUCUGAGAAGUGUGUGUUCAGUUUCUUAGCACAUUUAUUGAUUGGGUUAUUUAUUUUUUUGGUGUUAAGUUUUUUGAGCUCUUUAUAUAUCCUGUUUUUUGUGCUCUAUCUGAUGUGCAUGUAGUAAAGAUGUUCUCCCACUCUGUGGGCUCUUUCUUCACAUUAUUGAUUGUUUCCUUUGCUAAGAAGCAGAUUUUUAGUUUGAAUCCAUCCCACUGAUUAAUUCUUAAUUUUAUUUUUUUUGUUCUUUAAGAGUCUGAUUAAGGAAGUCAGGACCUAAUCCAACAUGAUGAAGAUUUAGGCCUACUUUCUUCUAUUAGAUGCAGGGUCUCUGGACUAAUUCCUAAGUCUUUGAUCCACUUUGAGUUGAGUUUUGUGCCGGGUGAGAAAUCUAUGUUUCCACUUCUCACUGCUAUCCAAGACCAUGACCAGGACCAAGACUUGAAGAAGAGUAACAGUUUGACUCUCUGGUCUCUGACUCUUCGCAUGCACGUACUUUUAUUAGCAUUCUGUAUCCAUGCCCUUUGCCAUGUGACUUCCCUUAUUCUCCCUAAAUGAGGAAUGUAUUUCUUGGGCCCUUGACUUUGAGUUUGGCCAUGUGAACUGUUUUGGCCAAUGUGGAAUUACAGCAAGUGAUGUGAGGGCUUGGAUUAUGUAGUUGGUUUGUCCUUUUGCACUUCUUCCAUUUGCCAUAAGACAGGCUCCAGGUAGGUGUUGAUCCCAGAAGGGCAAAGGGCAUGUUGGGCACAUCUUGACUCAACCCAGAUGUCAGAGCCAACCCAGUAUUCUGCCCCCUGAGGCACAGCCAUUCAGCUGCAACCAGGUGAAAGUGGUCAGACUUCAGUUGAUCUGCCCACCCCUGAGGCACUGAGGUUUUGGAGGUUGUUUUCUUUGCAGCAUAAACUGAUACUGCAGCAGAAACGUGUGUGACCAUGUUCUGGAAAAUGCAUGGAAAAAGGAGACUUCUGAACCACAGGACUGUACCGGGGAACCAAAUUUAACACCCAGAGCCUUUGACCACCUGAUUAGCAGAGGCUUUGUGAGGAAUCAAAAUCUGGAUAGAAGCUCAAAAGAACCAGCAAUGUGGGUACAAGUGGGCCAGAAAUUUGAGAGAAAGGCAAUGGGGCUUUGCAACACUUAAAGUAAUCAAAAUAAACAGUUGUGAGACCAGGAAAAGGCAACCCCCAGCCCAGGGGUCUGCCGCCUGGCCGCCUCAGCUUUGGUACAUUUAAUCUAUCGCAUUAACACAGCUUUUAGAGUUACAGACCCUCCAAAGGAUUUGGACUCCACUUCUAUUGCAGUUGCCAGGGCCUAAAACUGUCAAUUAGAAAACCAUUUACCCAAGUCCACCCCUCCACUGGCUGUCAGGUGAAAGUUAUUACUCCAAUCUUCAUUUUGGCCCUUUCUUUACGUACAGAUCCAAACUCUCCAAAUCUGUUUCACCAUCCAAAUCACAUUCCCACAGCAUGUUGCAGAGAAGGAGGACACAGUAUGAAAUAGUGUGCAGCUAUGCAAACGUUAGUGGCUUUGUCUCAAGAGUAGGUAUGACGCAGUGGUUUGAUUUGGCAUGGAGGUGGGCAAACUUUUUCCAUGACUGUUUUUCUUGACCCCCCCAUACCCUGCCCCCUUGCUUCUGGUUUCUUGUUUGAAUAAAGAAGGUGAAAAUGAAUAAAGUAGAUCACCUACUCUCCUGGUGACAUUACCUUCAUCCUUCUCAUGGAAGCGCGAUAAACGCAAGGGUCAUUUUUGAACAUGAUUUCUUCUGGUCUGGGAUGCAGAAGACAGAAGUUGCUCCUUGUAACAUGUCCCUGAAAGAUGACACCCUCCAGAGAAGGAAAGUUGGCGUUUCCUGAGUGCUUCUGCCUGUGUCCUCUCAUUGAAUCUUCUCAGCCCUUCUGAGAAGUCCUACUUCACAGAGAAGAAAACAGGAUAGAAAGGUGACAUGAUAGAGCUGAGAUUCUAAUCCAAGUUUUGUCAUAUUUAAAAUGUCAGUUUCCUUCCUCUUUACUGUGUAGUUUUAAGAGGAAGAUGCUGUAGGAAGAAUUGCUAGGGUCUGUUGUUGCAUCUCUUUAUAUAGACCUGGGGUCUGGUGGUGGCAAACUCAGCACAUAUUUCCCAUCUGAAGAUGGCUGAAGUGUUGAGCAUUGGAAGCAUCAUCUUACAUCUGCUGAUCUCUUCGCCUUUGUGACCUCUUCAUUCUCCACAAAGAAACAGCAACUAGCAGGGUGUUUUUGUUUAUUUUGUUUUGUUUUUUAUUAAAGAUGUUAUUUUUAAGAGAAGUUUUAGGUUCAAAGCAAAAUUGAGAGGAAGUUACAUAGCUUUCCCAUAUACCUCUGGCCCCCACAAAUGUGUAACCUCCCUCAUUAUCAAUAUCCCCCACCAGAGUGGUGCAUCUGUCAUAACUGAUGAACACAUGGGCAGUGUUAUCAUUCAGCAUUUUGUACGUUCUACAGGUUUAGACUUAUCUCCACCAUUAUGGUAUCAUAGAUUAAUUUCAAUAACCUUAAGAUCUUCUGUGCUCUACUAAUUCAUCCUUCUAUUCUCAUUUCCCACCCCCAGGAAACCACGUUGUUGUUUUUUUACUAUCUCCAUAGUUUUGACUUUUCUAAAUGGAAUAUCAUUUGAAUCGUAGAGUCUGUAGCCUUUUUAGGUUGGUGCUUUCACUUAGUGAUGUACAUUUGUACAUUUGAGUGACCUGCAUGUCUUUUCAAGGCUUGACAAUUCAUUUCUUUUAAUCACUGAAUAAGAUUCAUCUGAUGUAUCACAGUUUAUCCAUUCAUUCACUGAAGGUAUAGUGGUUACUUUUGAGUUAUGAUAAUUUUGAAUAAAAUGGCUAUCAAUGCUCAUAUGUUGGUUUUUGUGUGGUCAUAACAUUUCAUACCCUUUGGGUAAAUAUCGAGGAGUACAAUGGCUGGACUGUUUGACAAGAGAGUAUUUAGUUUGUAAGAAACUGCUGAACUGCCUUCCAAUGGGGCUACACCAUUGUACGCCUCCACCAGGAUGAGGAUGUUCCACAUCCUCAUUAUCAUAAUUUGGUGUUAUCAGAGUUUUGGAUUGUGUCCAGUCAAAUGAAUGUAAAGUAGGAUCACAUUUUUUAAAACUUUCAUUUCCAUGGUGACAUAUGAUAUGGAACAUCUUUCUAUACACUCAUUUUCCAUUUGUAUGUGGGUUUUGGGGUUGUUUUUUUUUGUGUGUGUGUGUGUGUGAGAGAGAGAGGGAGAGAGAGAGAGAGAGAGAGAGAGAGAGAGAGAGAGAGAGAGAGAGAGAUAGCUGUUAAGACACUGGCCUAUUUUUAAAUUGGGUUGUUUUCUUAACAUUGAGUUUUCAGAGAUUUUUAUAUAUUUUGAAUAACAUUAUAUAUCAGAUGUGCCUUUUGUAAAUAAUUCUCACAUUGUAUCUCUUACUUUUUUAUAUUAUAUAUUUUUUAAUAUAUUUUCUUAGUUGUAGAUGGACACAAUACCUUUAUUUUGUUUAUUUAUUUUUAUGUGGUGCUGAGGAUCAAACCCAGUGCCUCAUACAUGCGAGGCAAGUGCUCUCCCACUGAGCCACAACCCCAGCCCCUUGAUAUUGUAUGCUCACCUUCAGUGAGCAUAAGUUUUAAGGUUUAUUCAUCUUUACUUUCAUGGAUUGUUUAUGUGAUGUUGGGUCUAAAAGUCAUUAACAUACCCCAAAUUGUGCAGAUUUUUCUCUUACAUAGUCUUCUAGGAAUUUUAUAGUUUUGCAUUAUAUAUUUUGUCCUAGGAACCAUUUCGUGUUAGUUUUUGUGAAAUGUGUAGUCUUUAGAUUCACUGUUUUGCAUGUGAAUGCCUGGUUGUUCCAAUAUCACUUGUGAAAAGGCAUUUGUUCCAAUGUACUGCCUUUUUUUUUCAUUUGUCAAAGACGAGUUGACUCUAUUAUGUGGGUCUAUUUCUGGAGUACAUAUUCUGUUCCAUAGAUCUAUAUAUCUAUUCCUUUGUCAAUUUCAUAUUGAUUACUGUAGCUUUAUCAUUGAUGUCAGGUAGUGUCAAUCCUCCAAUUUUGUUCUUCUCCUUGUGCUCACUAUUCUGGGUCUUUUGCCUCUCCAUAAAAACUUUAGAAUUAGUUGACAAAGUCUUGCUGGGAUUUUGAUUGGGGUUGCAUUGAAUCUGUACAUCAAGUUGAGAAAAACUGAAAGCUUGAUAAUGUUAUGCAUUCACAUCUAUGAACAUGAACUACCCAUUUAUUUAGUUCUUUUAUUUCUUUUAUCAGAGUUUUGUAUUUUUCUUCAUGUAGAAUAUAUAUAUAUAAUUUAUGUAUUUAUUUAUUUAUUUUUGGUAUUAGGGAUGGAACUCAGGGGCACUCAACCACUGAGCCACAUUCCCAUCCCUAUUUUGUACUUUAUUUAGAGACAGGGUCUCACUGAGUUGCUUAGUGCCUCACUUUUGCUGAGGCUGGCUUUGAACUUGGGAUCCUUCUGACGCAGCCUCCCAAGCCCCUGGCAGGCAUGCGCCACCACUUCCAGAAUUACACAUAUUUUGUUAGUUUUAAAUGUAAGUAUUUUAUUUUGGUGGUGCUAAUGUAAAUAACAUUAUGCUUUAAUCUUAAAUUCCACUUGUUCAUUGCUGGGGUAUAGAAAAGGGAUUUGUCAAUCUUAUAUCCUACGACUUUACUAUAAUUACUUACUAAUUCAAGGAGGCUUUUUGUUGAUGUUUUUUCAGAUUUUCUUUAUACACAAUCAUGUCACCUAAGAACAAAGAUGCUUUAUUUCUUCUUUCCAAUAUGAGUAUAUUUUCUUUUCUUUUCUUAUGCUGUCACAUUUCUUAAUUUGCUAGGACUUCCAUAUGAUUCCAAAAGCAGUAGUAAGAGGGAAUUUCUCUGCCUUGUUUCUGACUUUAGUGGGAAAGCUUUGAAUUGAUUACUAUUAAUUAUUAUGUACUAGCUUUUGGUUUUUUAAAAAAUAUUUUUUAAUUGUAGAUGGUUACAAUACCUUUAUCUUAUUUAUUUAUCUUUAUGUAGUGCUGAGGAUCAAACCCAGUUCCUCACACAUGCUAGGCAAGUGCUCUACCCCUGAGCCACAACUCCAGCCCUAGUUAUUGGGUUUUUAAAGAUAUUUUUUUUCAAGUUGAAGAAGUUCCCUUCUGUUUUUAGUUUCCAUAAAUGAGUGUUGUCAAAUGCUUUUUCUGAAUCUAUGGAUAUGAUCAUGUGAUUUCUCUCUUUUACCCUUUUGAUUUAAUGAUUACACUAGUUGAUUUUCCCAGAUGUUGCAUAUCUGGGAUAAAUCCCACUUGGGUAUAGUUUAUAAUUCUUUUCAUACACUGUUGUAUUUGAUGUGCAAAUAUUUUGUUAAGGACAUUUGUAUCUAUAGAUACUGGUCUGCAGUUUUCUUAUAAUGUUCUCCUCUGGUUUGAUGAUAGGGUAAUGCUAACCUCAUACUUUCACAUUAUCUAUCACCUUUCACCAGAGUAUAGGCUGUUUGAGGGCAGAGUUUUUGCCAGAUUUGUUCAUUGCUAUAUGCACAGUAAAAAUGACGGUUCUGGGAGGGUCAUCAUAAUGAUGUGUUGAGUGGAAAGAAAUACUUGAAUGUGCUUUUAACCAAGUUUAUUCUGUUGUUUAUUUUAGAUUUUUAAAGUGCAUGCCAGCUACCAUCUGACUUGGACACAUAACAGUCUUACUUUUCAAACUAUUAAGGAGGAUAUACAUAACUAUAAAAGAACUCUGUGGCUUUUAAGCUUUUCUUACCCCCCACCAUGAAGCUGCUCUGGUCAAUGAGGACAUGACCUCUGCUGCCUUGCCCACCAUCACACACCAUUUGAUUAGCAUGGUGCCUGACACUUACAUGCUAAGAGUAUAAGAAAGAGGCUCAAAGACAGAUGGAGUUCUUAGUGGUCCCUAUAUAUUAUUCAGGAGUGGAAUUUUAGAGGAAGGAAUAAAGGGAUUAGAAAUGAAUGAGAGCACUACCUGCCUUUAUCUUUCUUUCCUAAGUGCCUUCUUUUCUCUUCCAUUUCAUGAUGAAGUUGUGACAAAUGAUGCUGGAGCAGGGAGGUGCUUUUGGAUUAAAGUCUAGAGAAAGCCAGUGCGGAGCUCAAAAAUAGGAAACUUGGUGCAAACCUCUUUGUUCUGACUCUGAUAAAGGAGAAAUGGUAACAAAACAAGGAGGUACUUGAGAAUCCACACGGUAGGAAACCUAAGAUAUCUGGAAAUGAAGCUCCCAUUGGUAUGGAUUCUCAGUGUCUUUGAAUGUAUGGUUUCAAAAUCCUUUAAGAGAAUGUUGGUGUGAAAUAAUCAAAAUACUUUUUCUCAUGGAGAAUGGACCUAUAUGCUAGUUUAAUAAAUAACAUAGGAAGAAAAAUAAACCCUCUAAAAAUAUAAAUGGGAAAUUGAAUGAGUUAUCAACCUUUCAAUAUGGGAGAAGAGUUGUUUUGGAAAAAGAAAAUCAUAAAAAAGCUUUCAAAAUCUACUUUUUUACUUUUAAAAUGAUAUAAAAUUUAUGACUAUAUGAAUUUUAAAAACUUAGGAAUAGAUAUUUUAUUUCUCAAAUUUGUUUUAUUGUUAAAGAUUAUAUGUUUGUGUGAAGAAGAGGAGCUCUCAAUGGAUUUUGACUGGAAUGAUUAAAUUUUAAAAACCUGGGCGAAUUAUAUAAAAGUAUUGGAUGAAUUUCCUUAUAAACACAGCAUCAGUUUUAUUGUGCUUGAGUAAUAGAAGUAAGAUCAAAAAGAUCCAAAUUAACAAUAUUUUUACCUAAUAUAAUGUAUAUAACAGAGUAAUAAGUUUCCAACAAAAAAAUAGUUUAAUUUAGAAAAUGUAGAAGAUAAAAAAUAUUAAUACAAAAAGCUAAAGAUAAAUGAGCAAUAUCAGUCAUUUAAAAAGGUAGUCUUAAUAUAAUAUGCUAUUUUUUCUAGAUAUUAAAAUGGAUUUUUCACAAUAUUGUGGAGGAUUUCUCUCUAAUAGUCUCAUAUUAUAAGUAAGUAAUACUUUAAUUGGAACAUACCAUAGUGGUUGAUUAUUCUGGUUUUGUUUGCUAAACAUUUGGGAUGAAUCUCUAAAGUAUCCAUGAUGAUCCGAUUGAAGUAGUAACUUAAGAAGUAACAGGAGGGUGAUUUUGCAUUUCUGGACAUGCAGGUAAAAAUUAAACUACACACAUCAAGGCAGAAUGAACUAUUGUGGUAUAUUUUGAACAGUGGAUGGUCUCUACAACUUUGUGGAUGAUGCAUUAUUCUGACUAUUUGAUAUCAUGACAAUUUGUUCUACAGCAUUGUCUAGUAACUGAACAUGAUAUUGGUAGCAAGGCCUAGAAUUAUUCUAGUCUCCAAAACUCUCACCCUCUUGACUCUUUCAGUGUAGGCCAAACAAAACAAUCUUGAGAAAGAAGAAAAAAGUUGGAGGACUCACUCUUCUGGAUUUCCAAAUGUAAAGUUAUAGUAGUAAAAAGAAUAUGGUACUGGCAUAAGAAUAGACAUUUAGAAAAAUAAAAUAAAAUUUAGAGUCCAGAAAUGAACCUAUAUGUCUAUGACCAAUUGAUUUUUGACAAGAAUGCCCAGUCUAUUCAGUGGUUAAAGAAUAGUUUCUUCGAAAGAUGGGGCUAAGAUAAUGAACUAUCAGUGCAAAGGAAUAAAUUGAAUCACUAUUCAUAAUAUAUUAAUUUUUUUACUCAAAAUGGACCAAUAGAAUAAAUAUUAGAAUUAAAAUCAUAAGCUUCUUAUAACAAAACAUAAAUAUAAAUCUUGAUGAUCUUGGAUUUGCCACUGGAUUUGUAUAUAUGACACCAAAAACAUAAUGAACAAAAGAGGAAAUAGAUAAAUUGGACUUCAUCAGGCUCAGACUUCAGGGGAUAGGGGCCAGAUUGCAAACAGUAGAGAGAAAAAAAUAUUUUAUUGUUGUAUAAAAGAACAUGGAGUAAAAAAUGGAACCUUAUGCAAAGGGAACAGGUGUAAAGAAGAUGGAGGAGAACAGAAGGAGAUGACAGAGGAUAGCCCAGUAUAAGCUAAUUAGUUUUUAAGGUCAAUGCAUAAUGGCUAACACAGGUUAAAAUUUAGAGGAUAAUUUCAGUGUUUAUUUUGACUCUGAAUUGCAUAUACUUCUGUUUAAUUCUGACUGAUUUUUGUUAUUUAUACCUUCUAUUAGGGGAAAAAAAGAGAGGGCUCAGUGUUUCUUUGAGCUGGUCUCUGCAACCAGACAUUUGCCUAGCUUCCUGUCCCAUUAUCUAUUACAAAAAAAAAAAAAAAUUCGAUUAAUUGUAAUAAUUAACUGAGGAGGAGGUUAAAAUGAGCACAUUCUUUUGAAUUUGACUAGAUGACAUUUUGUUUUCUGAUCAACCCACCAGGAACAUCACAUUUACAAUUCUAAAUAUUUCCAUGAAUCACAAAUAUAAAAAGCGCCCAAUCUGACCCUGGGGUGUUCUACUUCUGCCUUUCCCCCCUAAUUGUGUCUUUUAUGCUGUUGUAGGCUUGGCUUCUAUCUAAUAAGGUACUUCACCCACAGUCCAAGGUCUGAGCUAAUGAUCUCUGAGAUGUUACCAAAACCGUUCUGGAAUACCCAGUAUAUAAUGUCAGUCUUUCCAUGGUCACUAUGGAAACUAUAUCCUAGAAAAAUCCAGUCACUUAUUUCAGUAUGACCUAUCCCUUAUAAAACUAAAUUGGCCAUUUCUAAUAAACUUAAGCUUUUAAAAUUGUUCCCUUGCUAAAUCUUUGGUAAUUGUAUUCAUUAAUAUUCUUACCAUGACCAAUAGUACAAUUAAUCUGAAACCAAAUCAGAAUAUCAAGAAGGCUCUGAUUUAGUUGCAAAAACCUUUGGACUUGAAAUUGGGACACCUGGUAUUACAAUAGAUUCUGCCAUUUACUCUGUGGACUUGUUCAAGUCACAUUACUUUUCUAAACUUCAAUUUCUUCAAAUGAAUACAGUAUAAUAGUGCCUAUCUAAACAAAGCCAUUGUUAAGAUCUGACAAAAUGAGGAACAAUCAGUCCCUGGAGGCUAUAAAACACAUGUUCACAUAAUCAUGAUUGUAAUUAUGGUUCUCAAUAAUUUUCUGCCAUUAUGAGUAAUUCGUGAUAAGGAAGGUUACAGUUAGGUAAAGAAAAUCAACAGAUAAUUUCUUAAAAUUCAAUUUAACUAUAGAUUUUGAACACUUCUUCCCUCAAAAGAUUUAUCAGAGCUAGUCAAAUUUCUUUUAAUUGGAAAUUAAAAGCUAAAUUUUGAUUUCCUCUAUUUUUCUCUUAGCAAGUUUCCUUUUGGGAAUUGAUACUGACCUGCAGGUAUGUACAGAAUGGAGACAGGGGUACAGAGAUAUUUUACAAACUGGAUUCUCAGUCUUGGGUAUUUGCAAAUUAAAUGAAUUUGAAUUUCUUAUUUUCUUUUUUUUUUCACUACAAAUCCAGAAACAUCAAAUAAGAAUUUGGAACAAUUUGUUGUAGUAUAAUGAUGACAGCACUCAUCUGUCCAGGAAGGGGAGAGAACAUACUCUGGGGAAGAAAUUCAGCUCACCAGAUCACCCAUCCAACAUCCUCUCUGCAAAUAUCAUCUCUCAAAACUGCUAUCAGAUUAUUGACAUAAUAUUUUAAUAUCCUGCUUAAACUGGAUCUUCCUGAAUUACUACAUUUAUCCCCCCCCCUCAAUUACAUAUUUAUAGGACAUCUUAACUACUUUGGUAUAAAAAUGGUGACCCCCCAAAAUGCAAACAAUCAAAUCUAAGUCUAAUUCAUAUUUCCAUGAUUUCAGUUGAUGAAGCAACUGCAUUCUGAUAUGGAGAGUUUGAUCCAUCCAUUGUAAGGUACCAGUACUUCCCUGUCCUGAGUCCAAGUUAAGCAUUUGGUUCCGGCAGUUUGGAGUUGGUGAAACUCCAAUGGAAUGGUGUUCUCUCACACUGACCCACUUCUUUAUAAUCAUUAUCUUUAUCAUGUUAGGCUAGGAAGUAGAAAAAAGAAAAAAAAAUCAACUCCUCAUAUCUCUGGUUCAGUGAAAUGCCAGACCCAAGGACUAUAUCCCACACAACUUCCCAGGCCUCAGUGAUCAUUUGGAGACUUUCAGACCCUUUUUUGGAGGCUCCAUGACGUUACGGACAGGUUUUUUGUAUAUUAUGCUGGUGCCUAACAAACUGUAGCCCCCAAUCCUUUAUGAUCCCAACUCUGGUGACUGCAGGAAGAGAUAAGGGAUAUGAUGACAAGUGUUCAGCAACUUCCUCUCUACAUGAACAAAAAAGUCGUGGUUGAAAAUGAAUGCUGAUUUCCAUGAUGUAUACUACCCACUACUUACUACCUCCUGCUACCCACCAAAAGCAACUGGAAGUGGAGUUUGGAAAGAGAGACAGACUCCAGUAACUUUGGAAGAAAAAUAAUAGACUAAUAAUUUUAUAGUAAUCAAUUGUAUUUAAGUACAGUUCUUAUUUGAAAAGAUUUAAAGAGACAGAUUGAACUGACAGUUAUGAUAGGGCUGUGGCAUUUUCUAUUGAAAAUUCCUUAAUGGCUCACCAUUUUUGCUAUAGGAAAUCAUAUGUAUGAAAUAUAUGCAUAUAUAUAUGAAAUCAUAGCAGAUGAGUGAGUGAAUUUGGGAUCUAAACCUGUCCAAUUACUUCUAUCCCCUUUUCCAUGUCAUUUCUCAUUGCUCUUCCACCAUCAAUCUGUACUAAAAGCAUACCAAUGGAUUCAGAAUAUCUGAAAUGAUUCAGAUUUAACAGCUGGGCUUGUCCUGAGCAGCCCCCAGGGUUUGUAGUACCUUCUUUGCCUGAGGAAUGAAUGAACUUUAAAACUAAGAUGCCAGAUGCUUUGUGACACCUUGCACACACCCACGUAUCCACUUUGCAGAUAAUCAUUGAGUUCCCAUCAUGUCAAAGAACUGACUUUCUGUUUUGUCAAGGAUUCUCUAGCUUCUGUUAGAACAAUUAAACUGGAAAAUAAAUACAAGGACCCAAACUUUUACCUGUACAUGUCAAAACAAGAUACAGAUAGUGAAAAGUCCAUGUCAGUACAAAAUAAUUGAUUUGCCUUUUUCUUUGAUAAGAUUUUCUAUAUUCUGAGAAUAUGCCUUUAAUAUUUUUAUAGCUAUGUGUAUUUUCUGAAUUCUCCAUGUAGUAGAUUAUAGCAGGUUCAACAAUUGGAAAAGAUCAGGUAUAUUUUUUAAAUCAUAUUUUUAAAAAGUCUCAGAGAAAUGUGAAACCAAUAAGGAUUGAUGAGCUAAAAUUCAAAAGUAAAGCCCAUUUCCUAGAUGGUCUGGGGAGCUUUGUGCUCAUGACUGGUAUUUGUCUGGAGAAUGAAACUCUUCGGGGGGAAAGAGGAACUUGAAAAUGUUCUAGUGUUCUUCCAAGAGUGGAUUAACAAACUGAAACUCUCUCUUACCUAGGCACUUUGUCCAUAAUGAGACAGAGAUGUGACUAGAGGCUAGGAAGUCUGAAAUUUAUUGGGCAGGCCCACAUGCUGAAAAUUCAGCAGAAGUUGAUGUAGUCUCCAGGCAGAGAUUUUUCUUCUCUGGGAAACCUCAGAUUUUGCUCUUAAAAGUGUUUGAUUGAACGAGGCCCACCUACGUGAUUGAGGGUAUUCUCCUUGGUUUAAAGCCAUCUGACUGAAGUUGUUAAUCAUAUCUACAACAUACUUUUCCGACAACACCUAGAUUAGUGUUUGACUAAGUAACUGGGCGCUAUUCUAGUCAAAAUGACAUGGAAAAUUAACCAUCAUAGUUGGCGACUUAAAAAACUUUAAAAAGGCAGAGUGAAAUCCCACAGAACUGCCCAGUGCUUUGAAAAAGGACCUACCUGGGAACAUGAUCAUAUAUACCCCCCAAAAAACAUUUGUUAUGUUUUGAAGAUGCUCAGGCAAUUAGGCUGGACAGCUGGGUUGAGAACUGCUGAAAGGAAAAGCUCUGUAUUCCACAGUCUUUUAGGGAUGAGGUGAUAGACAUCUGUCAGAACUCCAGUCAAGAGCCUGCAGGGCCACACGGGUAACCAGAGGUGGUCUGAAUCUAAAAUUGCAAUCCAGCAUCAUCCUAGCUCAAUACUCAUGUGGACUGCAAUGACCAGCCCCUUCAUCCUUCUUGUCUAAUGAAAGAGAAAGACCUCUUUGGCAGAAGGUAGUAUCAUCUGGAGCCUCUACCAUGUUUUCACAUACAGAAUCUGGCAAAAUUUAAAGUAUUCAUUGUGAACAAAUAAGAAAAUGUGGCUGGUCUCAGGAGAAAAACCAAACAGUAGAGACAAUUCUAAAGAUAUUCCAGUUACUGGAAUUAGCAGAUAAAGGAUACAGAUUAGUAUGUUAAAGAAAACAGAAAAUGGAAAAAAAAAUAAACAAAGAGAGAAUUUCAACAGAAAAUUCAAAUUUAUAAAAAAGAAUCAGUUUGAUGUUUCCAAACAAUUAUUAAUAAUAAAGAGUUCAAUCCAUUUUGAAGAUAUCAUGUCCCUAAAUAUGUUAUCUGAUAUUUGACUACACCCAAUAAGUCUUCAAAAUAUUUUAAUAAAAUAUGAUGAAACUAAUAUAAAAAUAGAUUAAAAAUUAAUAGGAGACUUUGACCUAGAUAAGCCAAUAGCUAAUGGAACAAGCAAACCAAAAAUCUCAGAAUGAUAUGAAAAAUGUGGACAACAUAAUUGUUGAACUUAGCUUAUUUGAUAAAUUUGGAACAUUGAAACAAAAAUGACAUAUUUAGGUUCACAUAAAAUGUUUAUGAAAAUUGACCAUAUUCUGGCCAUUCAUACAUAAGCUGACAUGAUGGAGAUUUGGGCCUGCUUUUUUUUUUCUAAUAGGUAUAGGGUCUCUGGUCAAAUGCCCAGGUGAGAAUAAGGGACUCAUAGACUAUUGGUGGGAAUGUAAAUUAGUAAAUCCAUUAUGGAGAAUAGUGUAAAGGUUCCUCAAAACACUAAAAAUAGAACUACCAUAUGACCCAUCUACCCCAUUUCUGCGUAUAUAUCUUAAGGAAAUGAAGUCAGCAUAUCAAAGAGAUGCCCAUGUCUAUCCCAGCACCAUUCUCAAUAGCUGAGAUAUGGAAUCAAGCCAGAUGCCCACUAACAGAUGAAUGGCUAAAGAAAAUGUGGUAUAUACAUACAAUACAAUAUUCCAUCCUGUAGCAAAAUGGAUGGAGCCAGAGGAGAGUAUACUAAGAAAAAUAAGUCAGACAGAAAAAGACAAGUGCUGCACAUUCUCUUUCAUAUGUGAAAACUGAAAACAAGUCUCUCUGAAUGCAGAACAGUGAUUAAUAGAAGUUGGGAAGCAUAUAGGGGGUGGGGAAAAGGAAGUUUAGAUUUUAUCAGUGCAUGUGUGAAAAUAAAACACUGAACCCAAUAAUGCAUUCAACUAAUACAUGCUAAUCAAAAAACAAAAAGGAAAAUAUUUGAAAUUAUUUGAAUGUUUGACCACAUUUGGAAAAAUUGUUCAAGGUAGCAGCAUUUGACAAUUAUUAUUUCAUCAACUAUUUAUGUACUAAUUUAAGGAUAUUGAAUUUUCACAAAUGAUAAAUAACAAGUACUAAUAACAGAUAAGAGAUAACCAAUAUUUUAAAAUAUCUCUAAUAAACAUAUAAAAUACUUAUAAAAAUGAAAAUAUUUAUAAAAUAAAUAAAUCUUCAGAAAAACAGAUCAACAAAUAAAAAUAAAUUAUCAGUAAUCAGAUUGAAAAGUGGCAUAUAGUGAUCCUUUAGAUAUUAAAUUAUAGGAAGAGGAUAUAAUAAAAAACUUCACACCAAGACAUUUAGUAAAUUGGAUAAAAAGUACAGAUUUCACAAAUAAAUGUUAUCUAUCCCAACUGACAAAAGAAGUUCUGAAUAGACCAAGAUCUAAUAUAUUUAAAAACUGACAUUAAUUAUUGAAUUUAUCGAUCAGCUUUCUCAUAAACAUAAAUGCAUUUUUUAACAAAAUGUCAGAAAAUUAAAAUUAAUGAUAUAUAAAAAUGAUAAUACAAUAUGGCCAAUAGUUAUUAUUCUAAGUAUGGAAGGUUAAUUUAACAUAAAAAAUCAAUGUAAUUUGCUAUAUUAGUAGGAAAAAAAGAUCAUCUGAAUUGAAUAUGAGAAAGCAUUUGACAAAAUUCAUCUAUUCAUGAUGAAAUUUUAUAGUAAUUUAGAAAUAGAAGGAAACUCCUUUAAUCGAUAAGGAAUGUAUACAAAAACUUUCAUGGUACUUCACAUUCAAUGGCAAAAUGUUAAAAAUUUCUUCCUUGGGAUCAAGAGUGUAUAUGUAUAAUUCUGUUUAAAUAAGACAUAGAGUAGUUGAAGUUAACUUAUAUGUGUUAGAAUCCAAAAUAGUGGUUACUCUCUAAAUGAAGGACCAGUAGGGAGACUUCUGGGGUACUGGUAGUGUUCUGACUCUUGCUCUGGUAUGGCUAGGUGGUUAUAUUCACUUUCUGAAAAUUUAUUGAUCUGUUCAUUUAUAAUACAUGUAUUUUUUGCAUAUUUAUGCUAUAUGAAUAAGAAGUUCAUUUGAAACACUCCAAUAAAAAUUAAAACUUGUCUCAUAUUUCAAAUAACUGGCACUUUUUCAUGAGUUAAUAGGUUGGAUUCUUUAAUGGUCAGGCACUUGCCUCCCAGUAUCUUGACCUGGUCUAAAUAAGAACUGAAUGAUGGACAUUUGGGGUUCUAUUUAGAGAAUUUGAGCUUCCCAGACAAUGCUCAGACAGCAGACAAGCCUAUCAUCAGUUUCCCCAUAACUAAGUGAGCUUUCCCAGCAUCUUUUCCAGGCCUCAGAUAAUAUAAUUCUAUUUCAGGAACCUUGCCUAGUAUGUAGAGCUGCCCAGCAACUCUCAAAGGAGAGGCCAGCUGCACCAUCACAAAUUUAUUUCUCUGUGCUGCUCUUGAUGGAACGCAAGGUGAAAAGGUCAAGUCUCUUAGGACUUCAACCAUACUUUGGGUAGUGGCAGGACUGGAAGUGAGCAAUAACCUGCCAGGUCCUCUCAUCAAGAAUAUAAUCUCAGGAACUUCCACACCAACAAUAGCUAUUGGUGACAACUCAUGAAGCUAUUAUCCAAAAAGUAUUCUCCAACUAAAUUGCAAAUCCUGCUUUGUAAACCCAGACAAAAGAAACCCUCUCUGAAUUUCAGUGUAUUCUACCAUGUUUUCAGAAGUGCUCAGAGCUUCACCUAUGCCAUUGAACAUGGCUUGGUGGCAUAGUUGCAAUAGGUAUCGUUGACUCCUUAUUUUCUUAGAAUGGAAGUCUGCUCAGUCAAGUGUAGCAAAAGAAACUGUCUGGCUUUUCACUCUCUUCCUAUCAGGCAACAUAAUUUUGAUAAGCUAACUUCUUAUUCUUCCAAGAAGUUCUCUUGGACUUACUCCAGUUUAUAGUCUUCUCUUCCUUUCUGAACUCUGAAAGUAUGUAGGAGUGAUGCUCAGUUAUAAACUGCCUUCUUCCCCUCUCUCGCCUUCUCUCCCCCCCCCCCCCCCCCCUCUCUCUCUCUCUCUCUCUCUCUCUCUCUCACACACACACACACACACACACACACCAAUGUGAUAUGUAAGUUUAUAGUUUGGAAUGCUGUGUUUUGUAUAGAUGUAAUUUUUAUGUGGUAUUAGCUUCUUAGGAUUGUUCGUAAAACCUGUUAAAUAAGUGGAUUCAAAAGCUUUGCAUAUGUGAUAAGGUGGAACCCCUUGUCUCUCUACAGCAGCAGAUGCAAGUUUUCAGAGUUUUAUCCUGAUGUCAUAGACUUCUAUCUUUGGAAAUGGAAGAUGGGCUCUCUGAUGGCUCUAAACUUCUUACUGUAAUGGUCAGUCUCCUUCCUAGUUGUCUAAUAUCCUGGCUACUUCUAUUCCUUCUCUGUUUUGUUGUUUUUCAGCCACACUGGUCUUUUUUAUUUUCUCAAAUUUGUCACAGUAGUUCCUGUGUAACCCCCUUAUACUUGAUCUUCCCUCAAUCUGGCAGGCUCUUCCUUACUUCUUCACUUAACCAGCUCUGUCUCAUCAUUUGUUCGUCAGAUUAAUAUUAUCUCCCAAGAAAAAGCUUCCUGGACCACUCUGUAUCAAUCCACAAGUCAUUUACUUACUUUUAAAUUAAUUAAUUCGUUAAUUUAUUUUCUUGUUUCUGUGUAGUCCCCCUUUAAUGCAAGUUCCAUGAAUGCAAGAACCUUGUCUGUUAUCCAUUCUGUUCCUAGAACUGAGCCCAGUACCUGCUACUUAAUAGGUAGUUGUGUCAGUCUGAGUCCUCUGAGAAGCAGAUGCCAAGAUGGGAUUAGAUAUGCAGGAAAUUUAUUAAGGAAUACAUUUAUGAAGUAUAAAGGAGAGGGAGCAGGAAUAGGCUGAGAGAGCUUUCAGACUGUGACACAGGUCACAGAAGAUGGAGAAGGAAGGAAGUUUGAGUGGAAAUAGCCUCAGGCCACAGUCAGUUCUGAGAAAUUUUUGGCUAGGCUGAAAGGGAGAGGCCGUACAAAGGUAACCCAUAUUGGGCAAGCAUGGCUAGGCUCCAGGACCCCACCAUUCUUAGACAGUGGCUAAGAGUUAUUCUGGAAAAGCUGGGUCCACAGUGAAUCCAAAGGAAUAGCUGUACAACUGCCCAACUGGUCCCAUAGUAGAUGUUAAAGGCUGGCUCUUCUUGACCAUUGUUUUUAUGAAUGGUCAUGCACUAGUGGUGUUGUAGGUUAGGGUCUACUUCUUUGCUAGACACCUCGCAGUUAAAACCUUAAUUGAUCCGCAGAUUAGCUAUAUUUUUGUUUUUGUUGUUGCUUCUUUUUCUAGUCAGAUGAUAACAAGAAAAUUUUAGAGAUGCUUUAUCCUUUUCCUCUUCCCUCAUCCACCAUGUUUUUUAGCACAAUGCUGGGCACAUUGUAGUUCCAAAGAUUCCUAACAUCAAAGGCUACAAAAAGGAGACCUGUUAUGGACACAAGUAAACAUGACUUGGUCAAAAAUGGUAGGCAUGAUGGAGAGUUGGAUUGGAUUUGCCCCAUCUAGAAGGGGUGACUAUUACGUAGCUGCAGCAGAUUACUGCCAAGUAGGAACGCAGGCUCUGAGCUACCAAACCAAAUGAUGCCAGAAAUCUGGAUUUUUACGUGAAAUCUCCUGAUUUUUAAAUGUUAGGAACUAAUUAAGUAUUUUUUAAAACAUUCUGCAGGCCAACACUAGCAUGGCCAAGCAAAACAUGCCUGUAGAAUGAUUUGGCCACCAGUUUAUAGUCUCAUUCUAGACCAGUUGAUGGACAACAUUCUAGAUCUUUAAAACUCAUAGUUGUGUUAAAAGUUUUGUAGCAGUUAUUCUUGGAAGUAUUCUCAGAACCGGCUGAUGACUGGCCAUUUAUGUCAUUCCCCAGUAUCCUGGAUCCAGAGAGCAUGAAAGAGAAUAAACCAUAAAUGUCUGAGUCACAAAGGUCAUGGACUCAGGAGCCUGGGGUGAAGUCCUCCAUGAAAUGUAAGGAGACAGAUCUCUCUUUGCCAGUAUGUGAGUGGGUCUGUCAGCAAGGACAGGCUAAAGCUAAACAGAUGGAUCUCACUCCCUGCCCAGAGGGAGCACAGGGUGGCCUCAAGGGAGAAGGAGUGAAUUCUAAGGCAGAGUUCACUUUCUAGGGCAAACCUUAUGCCCUAGAGCUGAAACCCUCAGAUUUGUUUUUUGUCUGUGGUGGAAAACCACAGGAUUAGAAAUCCCAAGGGCUAAAGGUAAGAACAACAAUGUAAAAGCUCAUUAGUGAUCCCAGCAACAAAAAAUUCUUCCAAAUAACAGUUUUAGUUUUAUUCCUGCAUGUAUAGGAUCUAUGCCCAAAUAUAUCUAUGGAGCAUUUUUAACAAGUUAAUGAGAAUUCUAAUGUUUAAAAUAAAGAAUCAUUUCCAAUUUUCAAUAAGAACUCACUUCCUAUUUCAGACUUCGGGUUUGCAGCACCUUGAUGAUUCUCUGCUUGGAUUUUCAGAAACACAAAGAGUCACAAUGCACUUAACAGACCCAGGGGUAUUUGACACAGAGCAGGAAUACCAGACCGUGAUAUUCCUGAGUUAUUAACAGAGUUACUAACAAAAUUAUUGGUGGGUACUGUUUUGUCUUAAAAGGCCUAUAAAAGUUCUUCAAUUGUGCUACCAUUUCAGAGCACAUCCCUGUUCAGUCUCUCAGCUUGUGAUUCUAAUUCAACAAAGCAUAUGAUUUGCUUCUGAAGUUGUGACUGUCUCAUCAAUAGUUGUUAAAUCCCUAGUUUUUUGCCUUCUUAAAAAUAUAUCCAUCCAAUUUUAACUGAAAACUCCUGAUAUUAUCAGUGAUGUUCUGUGAAUUUUAAAUCUCUCUUGAAAUUGUGUGUUCAGUGUAUUUGUAUUUGUCACAAUCAUAAGCAGCAGCAUCGUGUGAACAGCAAGCACUCUGACAAGUUGCGUUCUCAGUCCUUCAAUUCCCAAAACUCCUUGAUCUGAGAAGACAGCUCAGUAACCUUGUCGAUUUUCCCCACCUGAUGGCAUAAACAUAAAUGGCAUCUGCCCGCGCUGCUUUAACAGUUUCCAAAUAGCUAAUAAACUGGCAGUGACUGUGGAGACUGGCCUGAAGAAUAGUCACAAUUGGAAUAAUUUGCUGCAUCACAUCACAUAAGGGACCUGCCCACAGGGGUCAUAGGCCCAACCUUUGCAGGAUGAGGCAAUGGUAGCCUGCAUGCCAGCCUGUGCUACUAACUGCCAUGAACUGUCAAAGCCAUGUCAUCCGCUUUUUGACCGCAAGUGCCCAUUGGUGAGUGAAAUCAUCUUUUCCAUGUUUAGACCAAAAUUCUCAAAUUAAUUACCAGCAUAAGUUAGUACUUAUUAGCUCUUACAUGUCAGAUAAUGACAUAUAUAUGUGUGCAUGUUUCAUACCAAUCUAUACCCAUUCCCUUGAAAAGCAUAUAUAGCUCCUACCUACUGCACAGUCCAGAAAGGUGUCCUACAACCUUAAUUCCUAAGCUCUCUUUAUCCUUUCGUUCAUUCAACAAAGUAGCCCAAAUACCUACAGUUACCUUGUACUUGUUGAGCUUUCAAUUGUCAACCCUAAUCUCUUUCCAGUACCAGCAAAAAUGAGACAAUAGGGCUUAUUUUCAAAUGGGCUUGGCAGAAAUUGAUGCAGCAGUUAGCUUCUCUAGAAGAAUCUCCUGCUAUUUCAUCAGUUUACUGACUUCUGUGCACGGGAAUUGCAAGAGCUGCCAAAUAUAGCAUUCUUUUUGGGGAAAAAAAUGAGUAAAUCUAGUUUAAAAUCCUCUUCAUAAUCAUAUUCUGCUUCGCUUGGCAACUCUUAAAUCUUUUGAUUGAGACAUCAAUUGUGCUUUUAAAACUCUCAAAUAGUAAAAUCUUACAUUUUAAAAUCCUUCUUGAAAUUGUAUUUACUAUACAUAUUUACCAUCUAAGUAUUUUUAUAAUCCUUUACUAAAAUGUUUUGUGACCUGUCUGCAUUUAGCUAUCUGCAAACUACCUUUUAUUCUACAUCUGUUUGUGGCUAAGCAGCUUGCCUUUGCUGUAACUUUGGGUUAAACAUGACAAGUUAUUAUCGUACUUGCUAUUCGCUGCCAUUUGCAAUUGUCAUCUUUUAAGACAUGCCGUCUCCCUAGACCACUUUUUAGCAUUUGUAUGACAUGAAAAGAAAUGACUGCAAAAUAAAAAUUGCUUAAAUGCUAUGCCUGGUGUGGUUUUAAGUGAAACAUCUGGGCUCAUUCAAAUUAUUUCUUUCUGAUGUGAUUUUCUUUGCCAUGACUAACGAAGGCAGGAGGUUUGGUCGGGUGGCUUUUCUCAGGAGUUACUGGGAAAAGAGGAAUUCGUCCCUUAGGGACUGUGUUUCUGGGUGCCUCAAGGUUUUUAGGAAGGCAGAGGGCACCUCAUGUUAUUCUCCUCAACUUGUCCUGGUCUAUUGAUAUCUUUGAGAACAGUGUCUGGAACUUCCAUUGCCAGGGAGUCUAGAGGAGGGUCACUCAGGGGCUGAGGCAUAGUGGAUACAAGUGGGGAAGCCAAGGGAAGGCUGGACACAUAUUUGAAGACAGGCUUGUUCUGAAUAACUUCAUAGUAUAAAAUAGAGGGUGUAAGGAUGAAGAAGAUGCCACCUAAACAGAGUGAUCGCUCUUACUGCAGGUCUCAGCUUAAAGAUCAAUUCCUUGGAGAAGUGAUCUCUGGUGCCCAAAUGGAUGCAGGUUCCCUUCCCUCUCUGUUCUUAAUCAUGUCCCCUGCUAUUGCCUCAAAGAAGAAAUGAGACAGUGAGUGUUUCUUGUCUAUUAUUUUGUAUUGUUUACCCCAAUGGAAAGUAAGCUCCAUGACCAUAGGGACCUCACGGUCCUUGUUUUGUUCAUUCACCUGGUCAUCUCCAGGACAGGUUGGCUACAUAGUUUGAGGGCCCAGUGCAAAAUGAAAAUGUGAGGUUCCUUGUUCAGAGAAAAGUGCUGCUCAAGGUACUACCAUGUAAAACUUCCUUUCUUAAAUACUUUCUCUCUCCUCGCCAUUGUGUUUUUUGAUUUGCUAUCUAAUGGCAUUCUAUAUUUUAAAAAUAGAAAUUUUUAAUCAUGAUUUAUUAUUAUGGAAUCUACUGUUUGUCUUUAUAUCAUAAAAUGCUAGUUUUAAAUGUCAAUAUAAAAACAUUUAACUGGUAUGCAAAAUCCAAGAUUACACAAUUCAUAUUUUGUAUUUCACACACACAUAUGUAUUUCAUUCUUACCAGACCAUGGAAAGGCUGCAUGAAACUAAUGCAAUCAUUUUUAUUUCACUUUUUAGCACGUUAUACCAGCACUUCUUUCAGCUCACUGGUAGUAAAGAAGGACAAAAAGGAAAAGCAACAGUGCUUUGCCUUAUUGCUUUUGCUUUCUUUCUUUCUUUUAAUUUAAUUUAUUUAUUUAUUUGGCUUUAAGUGGGAAAUGAUAUGAAUAAGCAAGAAAGGGUCCCUAGGUUUUCCUUUUGGUUUGAACAAAAGAGCAGAGCCUCUGGUAUAACUAAGAUAUUCUGAAAAUGGUCCUAACACAACAUUCCCUAACACCACUGCCAUGUACUUGCUUUUAGUCUUGCUGAAUGCCCUUGUAUUCUUUCGGUGUCCAUUGGUUACCAACUUCAAUGCUCAUGGGAUAUCCUAAAAAUGCUGUAAGUGAAUGGGAAGGCAAGGAACUGUGGACAUCUCUGCUCAUGUGCAUGUUUCAUCAUUCCAAUGGACUUCCUUAGAAAGCACAAGUUCAGUGAAAUUAUUCAGAAUUGCAAGAUGGUGACAACGGUGCUUUAAACCCAACAUGGACCACUUUAUUGCACAGGUCUGUGCCCACAAAGCCCAGUGUGGUUUAUGUUCUGCUAUAAUGGAGCACACAAAUAUCACACUGAACACAGAGGAUGAGUAUAUAUUCCUACAGAAUAAAAGUUGAAUGAGUAACGGAGUCAGAACUGUCUAUCAAUGAAUUGAGCUGCAGAAAUAAGUGACUUCAUGGCCCAGAAAGAGAGAGGAAAGGUGGGUAUAGCUUUGUGGGUUUUUUUAUUUGUUCAAAUUAGUUAUAUGUGUCACAUCAUACAUAAAUGGACAUAAUUAGGAACAGAGAGGGAAGAGAAUCUGAAUCCACUUGGGCACCAGAGAUCACUUCUCCAAGGAAGUGAUCUUUGAGCUGAGACCUGCAGUAAGAGUGAUCACUGUUUAGGUGGCAUCUUCUCAUUCUUCUGGUUGUACAUGAUGUAGAAUUACACUAAUUGUGUAAUCAUAUAUGCCUAUAGGAUAUUAAUGUCUGAUUCAUUUGACUAUCCUUCUUCCCUCCCUUAUCCUCUUGCCUCCUUUCACUCCCCUCUGUCUAAUCCAAAGUACCUCUAUUCUUCCCUAGCACCCCCGCUAGCCCUUAUUAUGAAUUGGCAUCCACAUAUCAAAGAAAAAAUUCAGCUUUUGGUCCUUUGGGAUUGGUUUAUUUCUCUUAGCAUGAUAUUCUCCAGCUCUGUCCAUUCACUGGCAAAUGCUAUAAUUUCAUUCUUCUUUAAGGAUGAGUAAUAUUCAUAUAUAUAUAUAUAUAUAUAUAUAUAUAUACACAUAUAUAUAAUAUUUUCUUUAUUCAUUCAUCUGUUGAAGGGCUUCUAGGUUGAUUACAUAGUUCAGCUAUUGUGAAUUGAACUGCUAUAAACAUUGAUGUGCCACAACACCAUAGUAUGCUGAUUUUAAGUCCUUUGGGUAUAAACUGAGGAGCGGGAUAACUGGAUAAAAUGGUGGUUCCAUUCCAAGUUUUCUGAGAAAUAUCCAUACUGAUUUCUCAGUGGUUGUACCACUUUGCAGUCCCACUAGCAAUGUAUGAGUGUACCUUGUCCCCCACGUCCCCCACAAUCCCAGCCAACAUUUAUUGUUGCUUGUACUCUUGAUAAUUGCCAUGCUGACUGGAGUGAGAUAAAAUCUCAGUGUAGUUUUGAUUUGCAUUUCUCUAAUUACUAGAGAUGUUGUACAUAUUUUCAUGUAUUUGCUGAUCAGUUCUAUUUCUUCUUCUGCGAAAUGUCUGUUCAGUUCCUUAGCCAAUUUAUUGAUUCAGUUAGUUGUUUUUUGCUGUUAAGUUUUUGAGUUCUAUAUAUAUACUGGAGAUUAAUGCUCUAUCUGAGGUGCAGAUGGUAAGGAUUUCCUCCCAUUCUGUAGGCUCUCUCUUCAUGAUUUGGAUCAUUUCUUUUGAUGUGAAGAAGUGUUUAGUUUAAUUCCAUCCCAUUUAUUGAUUCUUGAUUUUACUUCUUGUGCUUUAGGAGUGUUGUUAAAGAAAUCAGUUCCCAAGCCAAUGUGGUGGAGAUUUGGACCUAAUUUUUCUUCUAUUAGGCACAGGGUCUCUGUUCUAGUGCCUAAGUCCUUGAUCCACUUUGAGUUGACUUUUGUGCAGGGUGAGAGAUAGGGGUUUAAUUUCAUUUUGCUACAUAUGGAUUUCCAGUUUUUGCAGCACCAUUUGUUGAAGAGGCUAUCUUUUUUCCAAUGUAUGUUUUUGGUGCCCUUGUCUAGUAUGAGAUAACUAUAUUUCUGUGGGUUUGUCUCUGUGUUUUCUAUUCUGUACCAUUGGUCUAUGUGUCUGUUUUGAUGCCAAUAACAUGCUGUUUUGUUACUAUAUCUCUGUAGUAUAAUUUAAGUUCUGCUAUUGUGGUGCCUCCUGCUUCACUUUUCUUGCUAAUAUUGUUUUGGCUAUCCUAAGUCUCUUGUUUUUCCAAAUGAAUUUUAUGAAUGCUUUUUUUAGUUCUAUGCAGAAUAGAAAUUAUAUUACAUCUCUAUAAUGCUUUUGAUAGAAUGGCCAUUUUGACCAUAUUAAUUCGGCCUAUCCAAGAACAUGUGAUAUCUUUCCAUUUUCUAAGGUCUUUUUCAAUUUCUUUCUUUAUUGUUCUAUGGUUUUUAUUGUAGAGGUCUUUCACCUCUUUUGUUAGAUUGAUUUCCAAAUAUUUUAUUGUUUUUUUGAGGCUAUUAUAAAUGGGGUAGUUUUCCUCACAUCUCUUUAAGUAGAUUCAUCACUGAUGUAUAGGAAUACAUUUGAUUUAUGGGUGUUAAUUUUAUAUCCUGCUACUUUGUUGAGUUCAUUUAUUUUAUUAUAAAAGUUUUCUGGUAGAAUUUUUCUGGGUCUUCUAAAUAUAAAAUCAUGUUAUCAGCCAAUAAUGGUAGCUUGAAUUCUUCUUUUCCUAUUUGUAUCCCUUUAAUUUCUUUCUUCUGUCUAAUUGCUCUGGCUAGAGUUUGGAGGACAAUGUUGAACAAAAGUGGAGAAAGAUGGCAUCCAUCUCUUGUUCCAGUUCUUAGAGGGAAUGCUUCCAAUCUUUCUCCAUUUAGAAUCAUGUUGACCUUGGGCUUAGCAUAUAUGGCUUUUACGAUGUUAAGGUAUGUUCCUACUAUCAGUAGUUUUUCUAGUAUUUUGAACAUGAAGGCAUCCAGCCUCUCUUCUUGAUAGUAUUACUGUUCCUAAGCCUACUUGAAACUCUUGUCUUUGGUUCAACAAAAUAUUCCUACCUCCUUAUAAUCAAUUUCCCCUGAUUUAUGCAAUUCAGAAAAUAUCAGAUUUUUUGCAGCUGCUGAACAACAAAAAAAUUAUUUGAGCCCUGUCCCAUGCACAGUUUUCUGUGUAUACCCAGCUUUGUGGUCCUCUGAACACACCAUGAUUUUCACAUCACCAUGCUUUUGCUCAUCAGAUCCAUUCUUGAAUGUCUGUGUCCUCUUUUCUAAUAAUACCCUUCCUCUUUAAGACCAAUCCUCCUGUGGCAGUGUCUUUAGUUACCAUUUUGGGUCGUCACUUAAUGGUCAUUUUAUUGAGAAAGUCAUUGACAUUUCUGUUCCUGAGCGCUCCUUGGGAGCAAGUUGAAGCCAUGUUAUCUUUUAUUUUUCCUCUAAGAUCUCAUAUAGUGCUUGACCCUUAGCAGAAGUCACUGUCCAUUGCAUGAGAGUUUGUUGUUGACUAACCAAACUACCCUAUAUGUUUAGGCCUGGGGAAUGUUGUAUUAGAACUAUUUUCAGAAUACUUUAGUUAUAAAUCAGUCACCACAAUCCAGUCCUUAUUACUGUUGUUCAAAGAUCUUUCUUUGUUGAAAGCUUUUUUUUUUAUGAUUGUAGGGAUUAUUCAAGGCAGUAUUAGUAGAAACGAUUAUGGGUAAUAAAAAGAUGCAUAUUGAAAUGGGCCUGGAAUUAAGCCAUUCAUGGAAUCAUCUGAGCUCAGCUGUGCCUGAUAUACUUUUGGACCAAGCUAUUUAUGAAGUUAUAGACCACAGAUUACUAUGACAUCCACGUUCAUUCUUGAAAAAGAUGACUCAGUUGCAAGUCCUGCACUUGAACAGGAGCAGGAAUCUGAGGGGGAAGAAAUAUCCAUCUACUGCAGAUGCCAUUCAUAAAGGUCCCUAGUAUGGCUCCUAAGUGGGCUGCAUUGUCUGCUCUGCUUCCUAUUGGGAAAUAACUCAAGGUGUUUAAUAUUUUCACUGAAUAUGGUGGUCUGCCUCCCUUGGCAUGCUGAUUUGGAGGGGCCUUCCCCGGGGGGCAUUGUUUAUCACGUUUCUCAUCUCAAAUGAGAAAUAAGAAAUGAAUCCUAAUUUCAUCCAGGACACAGGUUUAUUAAAAUAAUAUCUGAAAUACCGCAGAUAUUCUCAUAAUUUUGUGAAACACAAAAACAGAAAAGCCUUAUCCUCAUGAGGUGGGAAUGCUUAAUAAGCAAAUGACAAUACUUAGUUGGAUUUUUUUUUUCUCAUUCUUAUCAGGAGUUGGCAAGAGGGAUAGCUCAUUAGGUCACGUGGUGACUACAAAGACUCAAGUAAAAAAGGCAAAAGACAAAAAUUCCAAGGGAAACAGAAGCAAGCCCUGAGAUUUCCAUCUUCCUUGUUUGUUUCACCUUUGCAUACAUGACGUGAUUCUCUACUAAACAAGCAGACAGGCAGGUAAAACUUGCUUUCCUUUAAAUGGUGGGUGCAAGUACCUUUGCUGCAUUUGAAGACCCAUACUAUAAUGUUCAUGUGAAGCAGAGGGAGGGAAGGAUCAAAUAGUCUCCUCCUGUCAUAUAUAAAUAAAUGGGGGAUCAGUCCAAUAUGCCAUGUCCAAUUUGAGUAUGAACAUUAUUUAUUAUUCCCAAUCGUGAGCCUGUGUAACUCCUGGCUCAUUUUCACUAGCUCUGGGCAUAUAGUUCUCUAUCAUACACUCUGUCUCUGACUGAAUGUGUUCAUGUCAAAUAAUGGUUAAACCCUCCACUGUUCCCCAAAAGUCUGAGCAGCAGCUGGAUGCAGAUGUGCACCAACACCAGCAGUCAUGUGAAACCCACCAUUUGGGUACAUGACAUGUCUAUGCCAAAGGGAUGGCCAUGACUCACAAUGUCUUCAGAACAUGAAAUAACUUGAUUUUUUUAAAAGGCUAAAAGAAAAUACUUGGCUAAAGGCAAGAUUGCUUUUCGGACGGGAAACUCUUUUCCCAGGGUGUCCUGUGCAGACAAAACUUACUGCAUCCCUUCUAAAAAUGUGUCUGGAACUGUCUUCCAAGAUGAUUAAUAGAGCAAGUAUUUCUCACAAGGGUCUGACCUUUGGGAGCACAGCAGACAGAAGGCACAAAUGACUGGAGAUGGAUAAAGAGGACAGGCUCACAGGACAUGCAAAUCCACAACCUGACUCUCAUUCAGGAUGCAGGCACGCUGCACCAUCCCUUGGGGGAAACCCCCUAGGCAAUGAUACCUUUGAAAAACUUUUUAUGUCAUUAUACAUCUCUUUACCUGAGAAAGAUUUUCUUUCAAGAGAUGAAAGCACCUGUUGGUAAAUUGGAAGUGCAGAGACUGUGAAGAUAAAAACGAUUAAACAGAAGGUCCCUGCACCAAUCAUUCAGCCCAGAAUCAAUGGUCACAACUUUAGGAAUUCAUUGCUAAAUGCAGUGUGAAAGCUUCACAGCAAAGGGGAGGAAAAGAAGGUAGAUAUUUUUGGGGAAAAUAAAUUUGUUAUUUAAAAAUCUUUAUAACAACUCUAUAAGGCAAUGUUAAUGUCCCCAUUUGACAGGCAACCUGGAACUUGAAUAAUUCUGUGAAGUCAUGCAGAUAGAAAGUAGUGGCAAUAUGAGAUUCAGGCCCAGGUGUAUAUAAUUUCAAACUCAUUCUUGUUCUACUAUCUCCUAUUAUAUAAAUCUGGGGCAUGAAGAGUUGAGCAGAUAGGUUUUGGUAGAAAUUCACUUGUUUAAAAUUGAAAACCAUUUUCAAGUUCACCUUCAUGGCAUGGUGAGGACCUCUGCUGAGUAGGGAAGUAUAAGCAAUGCAGAGUUUUAUUGUCCCAAAUACAGAAAUGCUUUCUUUAUAGUCUGUUUCUGUCCUUACUCCUUGGUUUUAUAACAAUUUCCAUUAAUUUAUAUUUUACUUUUUUUUUACUUAUAAUAUUAUUGAAUUACUACUUUGUGCCAUGAACUGGUCUAGACAAUUAGUGUGCAGAGGUCCCACCCUGAGUUUCCCGAAAGACUGAGCCAGAGACUAGGAUUUGCCUGGGAAGUGAUCUUGGAAAGAAGUGAAGAAUCAGAAAAAGUGAAACUGGGAAAGGGGGAGGAGCCAAUAUGCCUACACACUGCAAAGCUGGCCAUCAACACAGGUGGCCAGUGCUCAGUCUCGCUGGCACGGGUACAGGGGAGUAUAAAAAGGAUCAGAGGGAGAGGCAUUUAUCCAUUAUUUCCUGGACUGUUUUGGCUGAGAGUCAACCCUUGCUCACUUUUGGGCUAUCCAUGCAUGAAUAUCAACAAGGCUCCAGCAGGCACUCCAUCCAGGAGAGUCAGGGAAGCCUCUCUGCUAGAGCCAUGAACUGAGGCUGAGAGGAUAUGAGGUGGUAAGCACGGUGUCUGUGAUAGGGAGCUAAAUGGAUGCAGUCCUUGGAAAAGGAAAAAGCCCACAAUUUAAAUUGAGAGGUGCUUAUUAAAUAAAUUAAUAAACUUCAUAAUUAAAAAUUUUCAUAACCGGGCUGGGGAUGUGGCUCAAGCGGUAGCGUGCUCGCCUGGCAUGCGUGCGGCCCGGGUUCGAUCCUCAGCACCACAUACAAACAAAGAUGUUGUGUCCACCAAUAACUAAAAAAUAAAUAUUAAAAAUUCUCUCUCUCUCUCUUUAAAAAAAAAUUUCAUAACCAUCAUAAAGGAAGAAGACAGGUGAUAGGAGGGAGACAAAUAAGCAUGCCUACCUUAAACUGAAAUGGCAAAGGAAGCUUCUGGGGUGAGGGUGACAUUUAGACCAAGAUGGCCAGGAGGGAGAAGUGAGGAAAGGCUUGCAGAGAGAACAGCCUUUGCAAAAACUGCAAAUGAGCUAUAGAAAUGGAAAGGAGCUCAACAUGAUUCAGCAGAGUGAGGAGGUAGGAGAGAAGAGUUAGAUGUACCUGGAGAAGUAGGUGGUUGGGUUCUGAAUUUUACUCAUGGAAUGAAAAGCCAUUAGAAGUGUUCUAAUAUUUUUGAAAAUUUUCUACAGAUGUUUUAUGAAAAAGAAAUCUAUGUUGUGUAAGAGGGAGAUCAGGGAAGCUUUUCUGAGGUAGCUGUGGUGGGCAGAGAAGGAAUGUUGGUGACUUAGACCAGGGCAUGACAGUGAGGAUGGAGAAAACUGAGCAGAUUAAAGAACCAUUGUUUUCCUCAUGAGAAUGUGGUAGUGGAUCAGAUAUGAGGAUGAGAAAGAAGGGGUUAAGGAUGACCCCCAGACUUAAAUCUUGAGCAUUUAUUCAUCCACUCAACAAAUAGGUAUUGAACACUUAUUACCUGCUAAACAUGAAAAACCCAGAUUGCUUAGACUCUACCCUGGUCUUUGAGUGACUCACAGUUCAGUAAGGAGAAUAGAGAAGUAGACAGAUAAUUCUGAGAGAGGAUCGUCAGUACCAUGAUAGCUGUACAUUCUAGAUGUCAUUAAAAGCUAACAUAAUCAAAGUUAGUGACUUCCACCUAUUCUGAUGACCAGACAUGUAUUCUUCUAGAAGAAGAUGUACCAGUUACCCAGAACACUGGGAAAUUGAUCCAGAGAGGAGUCAGUUGUCCAUGAGUUCUUUUAUCCUCACUGAUUAAUAAUUAGCCUCUCAGCCACCCACAAAUAUAGAGUUUAGUCCAGACCACUGAGUCCUGGAAAUGGAAGUGCUAAAGGGUUCAGAGCUGCUGGGUUGUUAAAUAGAGUACAGUCAGUAAGGAAGUCUUCCUGACAUGAAGCUGUGGUAAAUCCUCCUCGAUGUUCUCAAAGUCCCUGAAGCCAUGACAUCCGACCAGCAGAGCUUCCCUGCAGUGGCAUUCUUAUCAUUCUUGGCAGAGCUUUUCAAACUGCAAUAUGAAGGUAACCUUCACAAGGCCAGAGGACUUUCAUCAAGCUGAUGGAAUCAUUGAAGGUCAUUCAACCUGCUGUAGAAUUUAAAUGUUAAUUUGCCAUAAAAUAUCAGCUAGCAUUUUUCUGAAUCCAUUCAUUGUGGGUUAAAAUGCAGAAAGAACUACUUUUAGAAGAGCAGGAAAAAGACUGCUCAGUACCAAUAAGGCUGUGGAAAGAAGCCCUGAAUGGUGCAGACCUCAAAAACUGAAAGUCUAAGAUUGUGUAUUCUCUGGACACAGAGAAUUGUACUGCCUGGACGUCAGAGGACAUAGUAAAUCUUUUCUGAGAUGAAUAGUAUUAUAGUGGAUCGUUGACAAUGGUGGAAACACUAAAUGGAGUGUGUUGUUUUAAAUCUAGGUAUGUAUUCUCCUUCAAAGUUAUUGUAUCAACACACCUUCCAUUCAGCAUCCUAGAAAUUAGUGAUAUUCACUUGGUAUCUACCAGAUUGACCAAAAAUCAUAAUGACAGUCUGAAGUCUUGAUAUGACCCUGGAAUUAAUUUUUCUUCUGAAUUCAGAUAAGACAACUUUGGUGGGUUUUAGUUCACUAUUCACAAAUAUACUUAGUAUACACACACGCAUAUAUGAAUAUAUGCGUAUGAGAGACAGGAUUUGAGUCCCACUGCUCAAAUGAUGCUGAAGUUUACUGAGAACAAAUUUUAAGAAAAGGAAAGGAAAGCAGUGGAGAAAGGGUGUAGGCUCUUCUCCCAUCAUCCCCGUUCAAGGGUUCUUGCCUUGGAAUUGACUCCUGCAUGUGGCUUGGCCAAUCAGAGCACGUCAUUCUUCAGGCACAGAAUUUGGUUCAGAGUUGAGCAGAUGCCCCCUUUCAGUCUGUCAGAGACUUCCAUGGGCCUUGCUGGCCAUUAAGAAAGGUAAUUUCUCUUUAUUGUUGAUCUCAAUCUGUGAGGUAAGUAUAGGCUUAGAGAUGUCAGUGGGACACCACUUGCUUCCACAUGGUGGGAGAGAAAGAAUAGGAGAGGAGAAGAUGGGAAGGAGAGGACAGGACAGGAGAAGGGGGAUUGGAGAUACUGAGAUCUGCAGGUAAUAGCUGAAGCAAUGGAGAUAACGCUGCCAAAGAGAGCACUUAGUUACGGGACCAAUGAAAUCACAUUUACUUGGUUUAUGUCUCUUAGAACUGAAGACUCCUGACACUACAUAGUGCUCUAGGCCAUUGCAUUUUGGUAAAAAUGCAGGCCGCCUUGGAUGCCAUAGGAAAGUGUUCCCAUGUUAUAAAACCUUUACAGCCACAGAAAGUCAAGUUUUGGGCUGGGUGUGGUGGUGCAUGCCUAUAAUUCCAUCAGCUUGGGAGGCUGAGGCAGGAGGAUCACGAGUUCAAAGCCACCCUCAGCAAUAGCGAGGUACUAAGCCACUCAGGGAGACCCUGUCUCUAAAUAAAAUACAAAAUAGAGCUGGGGAGGUGACUCAGUGGUCGAGUGCCCCUGAGUUCAAUCCCCAGUACCAAAAAAAAAGUCAAGUUUUGGCACAUACUUAAUGACAUGGGAAAAUGUUCAUGAUUAAAAUCAAGUUAAAAUGUCUAAAAUGUUUAUAGCACAGGAUUCGUUUUUUUAUGAAAUGUACAUUUAUAUAAUUAUAUAAAAAGUAGACCAGAAAGAAAUAUAUUUGGAUUUUAGAAGUAGUCACCUCCAGUGUUAGGAUUAAAAAUAAUUUUAUUUUAAAAUAAAAAUUAUUUAAUUAUUUAAACUUCUUUAUGCUUUUCCCCCAGAUUUUCUACAGUACACAUGAACUGCUCACAUAAUCUGGAAUAAACAACAUGUUGAUGAAAAUAUGAAAAUUCAUACAUAUUCAAGAUGGCUUCAUGUAGUCCACUGAGCAACCUAGAAUGUAUCAAAGAUUAACUUUCAAAACACCUGGACAAUUGGGAAUUUGACUUCCAAAAGCAAUCUUUUGUGUCCUUGCACAUUUUAUUAUAAUGGAUCUUUAGCUCUUUACCAACCAGCCCUGUUGCACUUUCAGUUAAAACUAGUAAUGGAAACUGUACCUUCCACAUGAAGCAAGAGAGCCCAGUUAUGACUACAGAUAUUAAGAUAAGGGACCAGUUCAUGAACCCUCUACUGAUAGGGCGGUUGUGUCAUCUGGAGGACAUUUCUCCUCAAUUUGAUCUGACAAAAAGCUGGAUGUCAAAUUCUUAGAUAAACAAUACCAAGUUCCUGUGGGGGAAGAGCCAGUCAAAUAGGAGAUACUUGUUCUUGGCAUAAAAGUUUAUACUUAAGAAUUAGCUUAUCGCGUUUCACAGCUCACUGUAAACUAAGAGGGGUGGGGAGGAAAGGGUCAGAGACUGCUCUAAUUACCCUCAUUUGAGUAAGUAGAAUGAAAUGAGGUUUCCUAGGGUAAUUAAUCAAGUCAUGAUGAAAAGGGAUUACAUGCUGGACAUUAUUUUUGGUCAGGGAUUUGGUGAAGACUGCCACUGCCCCACAAAGGACACUGUCAUUGGUCUGGCUGAAGGUUCUCACUUAGGAAAGAACGUAUAGUAAUGCAAGGCUCAGCAUUGAAAAUAAAGGCUUAAGGAAAACAGCAGCAAUUAUCUGGCAUUGCUCUCUCCAAGUCUUGGCUUCAAUUCUUGCUGGUAAUAAGAGGCUUGCAAGUUUCUACGGUGUGUUGGGUGGAAACGGUCUAUGCCUGGUGAUUUUCACAAACAGAUGAAUAUACUCCUAUUUCCAAGCAUGCGAUUCAGCCACUUGGACUCCAGCAAUAACUGCCACCCGUUUCAAAGGAACUGGUGUAAUGCAGUCCUUAUAUCUGAGCUCAGAUCUAUUACGAAAAUCAAGCUGCAUGUUUUUCCAGGUGCUACCAUCUUGGAAACAAGGCACAAGGGGACCAAAAAAUGUGUUUCAGAACCUAAUGUGAAAGCCUCCAAUUAGGCUCUUUUUUAAUCUAGUUAUUGCAAGCUGUUUUGGCUAAAACCCGAAUGCACUUAAAUGUCUUCCAAGCCUGUAUGUUUGCUGCUCUUACUACUGAAGUGUUAUUUUGAAAAUGUUCAAAAAUGCCAUCAAAUUGAAUGUAUAUUUGACAUUGUAGUCUGCUUUGGUCUUUUUUUUUUUAAUUCAUUUGAGUGUGAAAUUAGGCAAUGCCUGUUGAUUGUCAGUAAAAUGAGUACAGUAGAAUGACUAAAUAGCAAAUAGUCCAACUGUCAGAGGAUUUCUGAAACCAGACCAGGAAAAACAGCAAGAUGGAAUUAAAUGCCAGUCAGGGACUUUGAAUCUCUGUCUAUCUGUCUCUUUCUGGUGUCCCAUAUUUCAGGUCAAUCCUAUUCCACCCCCUGCCUGAGAGCCCCCCAAACAACACAAAAAGCAAAGAACAACUCUCCUGCUGAACACAGUAAUUCUAAGCUAUAUUUUUUAAGCUUUUUGCCCAGUUAGUCAUAUGUCUGAAAAUGCAUAGAGUAUCCUCUUAAGCAACAGUGUGACUCAAAGCCUCACUACAUACUUGCAAAAGAACUUUGGCAUGCCCCAUCUCUGAGGAGGCUGGUGGGGUUGGGCCUGUACCAAAUAGUGGCAGAAUGCCUUCAUGAACAUGGAGGUCGCUCCUGAGAUCAAGGCUGGAUGGAUCUGUAGGGUGGGGCAGCCCACUGGGCACCACAUAAAACAGGAGGGGCUGUAAUGUUGGGGAAAAAUUGAAUAGACACUGAAGGAGUCAACCCAUUUUUCUGCCAAGUAUCUCCUUCUCUUCUUCUAUGGUGAAUUUGGAAUCUGCCUUUAUCUCUUUCACUCCACACUCCUAGAUUUUUACUGGAGUCUUUAUUUGUUCUCUGCAUGCAUUUAUAUUCUAUCUCUCAGACUUUCAACCAGCAUCUUGGUCCUAAGUCUGGACACUUUCAUCAAAUUGCAAGCAUUCUAGCUUAGGCAGGCCCCCAUAUAAUCUUACCAAGAUACCCAAUUCCUUUCCCAAAUAUUUCAUGAGCCCUUUAUGAAAGGUUAAUUUUCUUGCUCUCUUAUUUUCGAAUACCUUCCCUAUUCUUUCCACAUUACUCAUCAAAAUGAUCAAUCCCAAAUGAAAAAAAAAAUAUCUGUAGCUUUACCAUGAAAUAAUGGGUUGGAUCCUAAAAAGAAGAUUUACCAUCCCCAUAUGUUACAAACCCCCUUGAGUUGAUAGCUCUGAGAUAAAAAAAAAAAACUAAUAUGAUAACUGCCAUUAUAGAAAGAUUGAAGGUGAACUAAUAGAUACCUCUGAGUGGAUGUUCAAAUGGUAUUCAUUUUUUAAAAGCACCUUUAAAAAUUACUUCUGCUGUUUAAUGAUUCACAAGAAAUAAAUGAUCACUGUGAAAAAAAUUAGAAUAAUCAGAUAAAAUAAAAGAAGAAAAAAUGACCUGUAACUUUACCACUGGAAUACUGAUGUUUUGGGUAUACAUUCUUCAGGACUUAUUAGUAGUAUUUAAUAAACUAACACAUGUGAAUAUUAUAUGAUUGUAUACACAAACACAUAAGAAAAGAUACCCUAAGCAAGGUAGAGAUAAGAUUGAGAUUGGUCUGGUGUAAGCUAUUAUAUGCCAUCUCUGCCUUCCAUCUACUGUCCCCAAAAGUAUGUAUGCUUCUACAUGAUUCACAUCAAGAUUGAGGAGCCUUAUGAGAAAUGAAUUCAAAACAUCUUCAAAAUUGGGGUUCAGGCAUAUAGUUAUGUCUGGUAAACUUUGUGAUAAUGUUUAGGGUGAUGUUCCCCCCCCACACACACACAAAAACAAUAUUAAAGAGAAUCUAUAGGGCUUCCAAGGAAAAAUUCAUCUUAAGUCAAGUUCAAGUUCAUUGCAACAAAACUCAGAAACAAGAACUGAAGAAGAAAGUCUGGAUUCUGUAUUCAAGGUACAGUUAUAAUUCCAAGAUCCUUCCUCUUCACUAGGGUACUCUGGCAAAGAAGACACUGAGAAAGCAAAAGAACUUAAAGUCAAGAAUUCCAAACAACGUGUAGUAGUUCUCCUUGACCUGAGCAUAUAGAGAAUCAAUGAACUUGUGAAACCUAGGCAUUAUUGGUAGUUGUCCUUAACAGAAUCUACCCGACUGCUGACAUUCCCCCUUCCACACAGAAAAAAAAUGUACUUUAUAGUUUGUUUUUAAAAAUCUAAUCGAGUAUGAUCAAUUGUUUGCACCCCUAUACACAUUUCUGUAAUAUAAUUUGAAAUGAUUUCAGUAGAUAAAUUUUAUCAUAAUUUAAUCAUAAAUAAUGAUGUAGUGAAUAACCUCAUAGUUAAAUGUUGGGUUAUAUGCUAAAUAAUUUCAUUAAGAUGAAUCUCUGAAAUUGGGAUUGUGGGUCAGUUGGUAUGCACAUAAUUAAGACUUAUGUACCAUAUGCAUAUAUGGGUUUAUACCCUCUAAAGAGACUGAAUUGACUUGCUUUUACCAGUGCUGAAUGAAAGUGACAGAUAAAAUGUUAUUUUUAAAAAAUUCAUUUAAUAUCUAUCUCACAUUCCUGGAUAGAGCACACCUUCCCUUUUAAAACUCACCACUCACCCACUGUAUAUAACAUGUAGGUGUGAAACCAAAAGGACCUGUUCACAGUAUGCAGCACUCAUGUCCAUCUAAACCAAUAUGGCAGACACCACAUAUGAGUCCCUGAUCUUGGCUACCUUUUAUCUUGAUCUUUUUUCACUCUGCCAGGCCAUAUCUAACUUGGUUAUUCCCUACUAUGCAUUUUUUGAGUACUUCAUUUUCCUCCUAUUUAGUAUUUUAUUGGGACAAUUUUUUCCUGAUAUAUUAUACUUUUAUUUGGUAUUUCCAUCCCACAUUUCCAAUCUCUCUGAAAAUGCUGAGUUCUAUUGUAAAUUAAGUCAUAUCAGAGUCACUUUAAAUUAAUGUGCCAAAUAAAAACCCAAGAGGCACUACUGUUACCAACCGUGCCCCAACACGGAAUCUGUUCCUUCCUUGCUCCCUCUUUCUCUUUGUGAGCUCAUUUCUGGUUUCAUCAACGUUCUGUAUUCUUGCUGUCCCUGUUUUACUCAGUUUUAGAAAAGUAUUUUUAAGCAACACAAAUUUUUAAAAUGAGGCUGAAGAAACAAAAUGGACUAAAGAAUACACUGUGAAUAUGAACUUUUUCUCUUACUUUGCAAAAGUUGUAAGAAGUCCUUGUGCACUGUGGAUAUAAAUUGAUAGUGUUUCUGGAAGGUUGAUUGGAAAUAAAUACAUCAAAAGCCAUAAGAAUGCUUAUACAUGCAAUUCUAUCUUUAUGAAUUCAUCUGGAGAUGAAUAACAAAUAUACAAACACUAAUGUAAGAGUGUGUUUAUUGAAGCACUAUUUAUAAGUAAAAAUUGAAAUAAACAGAAUGUUCAAUAAUGGUGAAUUGUUUCAAUAAAAUAGGGUUCUUUGUGCAUUGGUACAUGUAUGCAGCUAUUAAAAAUGACUUAAAUUUGUGUUUACAAUAAUGGAAGAACAUUGCUGUUAUAAUGUUAAAUAAAAUAACAGGUUGUAGAGUAUUCAAUGCAGUACGAUCCCACCUUGAUAAUAAAGACAUUUGCAUUUAUGUAAUCAGAGUAGAAAAGCUGGAUC
rnacentral:lncRNA from 1 species